UACGUAGGUGGCAAGCGUUAUCCGGAAUUACUGGGCGUAAAGGGCUCGUAGGCGGCCAACUAAGUCGGAUGUGAAAUCCCCAGGCUUAACCUGGGAACUGCAUCCGAUACUGGAUGGCUUGAAUCCGGGAGAGGGAUGCAGAAUUCCAGGUGUAGCGGUGAAAUGCGUAGAUAUCUGGAGGAAUACCGGUGGCGAAGGCGGCAUCCUGGACCGGCAUUGACGCUGAGUGAGCGAAAGCCAGGGGAGCAAACGGG
rnacentral:rRNA from 1 species